UAUGCUCGUCCUCGCUGUCGUCGCAGGGGAAUCCGGUGCGAAUCCGGAACUGUCCCGCAACGGUGUACUUGUGCAUGUCCGCCCCCGAAACGGAGCGCAUCGCACAGGAGUCAGUCCGAGGACCUGCCGCAGCGCGCCCGGCCGU
rnacentral:ncRNA from 1 species